AGCGGCUGAUCGGGGACGCGAGCUGUUUGAUGUCGGAUCGUGAACGGCUUGAUCGUCUGGUGCGAACAGGACGCUUGCUGUCCGGGAACGCGAGCUGUCCUGGAUGGUAGCUGAGGCUGAGUUCGUCUAGGAUCAGGAACGUCUUGGGCUGGAGCUGGUCGGGGAAGUGAACUGGAACAAGAGACGCGAUCGGAUGAUUAGGGUUUGUCGGGUCGCAGCUAGGUUUAGGGUUUUGCGAUUUUGGUUUUGGCUCAGGGUGUUUAGAGUUUCGUGCUGAUAUGUUGUAAACUUAAGGAUUUAGAAUCUUUAAGUUCUUAUUAUUAUUUAUAACAUAAGAUGCCCUUAUAUAUGAGAAUUACAAAAGAGAUAAAUGGAAAGAUACAAAUAUGGAAAGUAUACAAAUACAAGUAAAAAGAAACUAGGGUUUGCUGUCUCUCCUACCCGCCUCUCUCUCUCUCCUCUUGCUGCGGCCGCCUCUCUCUCUCUAGGUAUUGGGCCGGCUUAUGGACCAGGUCGAUUAUGAACAUCCAUCAUAUGGUUUAUAACGGCUCUAAGGAAUCAGUACAGGUUCACAUUAUGUUUAUUUUGGAUCGGUAUGUU
rnacentral:lncRNA from 1 species